UACUUACGGACAACUCGUACUCAUGAGUGUACCAUCAUAAAGCAUAUUAUAUUCAAAUUUUAAGUGAAAUACGAUCAUUCGUAAUAACAAGCACACGCAGUACUUUGUGACGCCUGUAAAACCAUUGCCCGGUUUCCGCUAUUUGUCUGCUCAAGGUACAAUAACAUAUGUAGUAACUAUUAUCGUCAUUUUAUUAUUGUUAUUUACAGUACUAUUCUUCCGACUUUGCUACAAAUUCAAUUUGCAGGUAGACUUAGGGAGCGGGUCGCAUUUGUGAUUCGUGCAGGUAGACUUAGGGAGCGGGUCGCAUUUGUGAUUCGUGCAGGUAGACUUAGGGAGCGGGUCGCAUUUGUGAUUCGUGCAGGUAGACUUAGGGAGCGGGUCGCAUUCGUGAUUCGUGCAGGUAGACUUAGGGAGCGGGUCGCAUGCGUGAUUCGUGCAGGUAGACUUAGGGAGCGGGUCGCAUUCGUGAUUCGUGCAGGUAGACUUAGGGAGCGGGUCGCAUGCGUGAUUCGUGCAGGUAGACUUAGGGAGCGGGUCGCAUUCGUGAUUCGUGCAGGUAGACUUAGGGAGCGGGUCGCAUUUGUGAUUCGUGCAGGUAGACUUGUAUCGCCGUUUCAGGCUUGGUCUCUUACUACAUUCUCCUUAGUGAUGUUUGUCUUUUUUGUGCUUCCCUACAGUAUCUUGCACUAUCAUCAGACGUUUCACCCAGUAACACUCAUACCUAAGUUGGCUCGCUGACUCUAUGCUCCCCAGCUGUUUUAUACACUCACCUGAUCACCUGCUUGGACAUGCAAAUACCAGCCAGCAGGUGGCACCAGGUGAAGCAUCAAAAUUGGGGGAAAUGUCAGCCAGUCACGUGGCGGCAGGUCAAGCAUAAGAAUGAGGGGAACGUGAUAUAAUUGCCUUUGACCAUGGCAUGGCUAAUGGUGCCCGGUUUGGGGGUUUGUCUUUCAGAAACUGCUCGUCUCCUGGGACUCCUAGGAGUUUAUGCAUGAUGUGGCAAAAAACAGAAAAGAUGCGGCGAGUGGCAUUUCUGUGGGUAGAAACGCCGUGUUGGUGAGAGACGGGUCUGAGCAGACAGACAGGCUCCGGCAACUCUGUACAGCAGUGGUGAGCAGAAGAGCAUUUCUGUGGGUAGAAACGGCGUGUUGGUGAGAGACGGGUCUGAGCAGACAGACAGGCUCCGGCAACUCUGUACAGCAGUGGUGAGCAGAAGAGCAUUUCUGUGGGUAGAAACGGCGUGUUGGUGAGAGACGGGUCUGAGCAGACAGGCAGGCUCCGGUAACUCUGUACAGCAGUGGUGAGCAGAAGAGCAUUUCUGUGGGUAGAAACGGCGUGUUGGUGAGAGACGGGUCUGAGCAGACAGACAGGCUCCGGUAACUCUGUACAGCAGUGGUGAGCAGAAGAGCUUUUCUGUGGGUAGAAACGCCGUGUUGGUGAGAGACGUGUCUGAGCAGACAGACAGGCUCCGGUAACUCUGUACAGCAGUGGUGAGCAGAAGAGCAUUUCUGUGCGUAGAAACGGCGUGUUGGUGAGAGACGGGUCUGAGCAGACAGACAGGCUCCGGUAACUCUGUACAGCAGUGGUGAGCAGAAGAGCAUUUCUGAAUGGCCAACACCUCUAAGCGUGAGCUGGAUGUGCAGCUACGACAGAAACCACAUCAGCCAAGCACAGAACUCUUAGGCUACCGUGAGCACCAGCCCACCAAACCGGGACAGUUAAAGACCGGCAGAGUGUAGCCUGGUCUGAUGAAUGUCUGAUUCUGCUGCGGCAUGCAGAUGGUAGGGUGAGGAUUUGGCGUAGACGGCUUGAGUACUUUUGCAUCCCUUUGUGGCUGCAGUUUGCCCAGUUUCUGACUGAUACCUCCAGCAGGAAAACUCUCCAUGUGACAAAGCACAAGUCGUCACUGACCGGUUUCCUGAGCUUGACAAUGAGUUCAGCCUCGCAGCUCCCCAGAUCUGAAUUUAAUGCGGAGCUUUUAGGCUGCAGUGGGACAUGAGAUUCACAGCAUGAAUGUGCGUCCAGGAAAUCUGCAGCAAUUAUGCGAUGCAGUCAUGUCGGCAAGGAGCAGAAUCUCUAUGGAUGUUUCCAGCCUGUUGUGGGAGCAGUGUGGUGACCCAUCUGGCCAAUGAGUAUGUACUUGUCUCAUUAGCUGCCUUACUUUGUUUUGGACCUGCCAGAGCCUAAAUCUGAUUGGUUAAUUGAUGCACGUCCUUCAUGGUGACUGGAGGUGAUUGGCUGGCUGACUGGUGGUCAGUCAUGGAGGCUAAAGCUGGUUGGGUGAUGAGAAAAUACGUAAACACUGAAAGAGCUGUCUUGGCUGCAUUAUGUGAGUCCUGACCUUUGCAUCCUCCUGUAUAUGACAGAUCAGAACCAAGGGGGGCAUGAUGGGUCAUGUGAGCUUUACUUUCUAAGUGAAGACCAAGGCACUCAUCUGGAAACGAAGUUUUCGGCUGAGAGCAGAAAAGGACAGUAAGAAUAGGCUGCAGAGAAUGUGACGGCCUUGGCCAGAGAGCGCCUGGCAUUGAUGAAUGUGCUGCGGAGGAGCGUUUCUGCUGCCGAGCAAACAGCCUCCUUUCUCUGCUCCACCUCACCUUUUUAAGUAGGAGCUCUAAUCUAAAGCAAACCCAACUGCAGAAUUAGCUGUCAGCCAGGAGCCACUGUGAUUACAUAUGAAGGCACAUGGUCUCCUGCCUCUAAUCAGACUACAGCUGCUUUAUGUAGUAUGUGGGAGUCAGAGGGCAAUUCGCCGAGUGACUGUGGCCAGCACAGGGUGAGUGACUUUGUAGCGGCUCGACGUUUCUUGUUAAAUUUGGAAGUUUGGAGGAGCACAAAUAUAAGCAGGACUUGACAAAUGGAUGCUUAUUUGCUGUUUCACUUGAGUGAUUGAACAGUUGAAUGUUGCGGGUUGGGAAGUCAGUACGUCCAAAACUAUGCAUGGCCUCUCAUUCUGGGGCUGUAUUUGCUGAGUGGCUCAGGCACCAGCUCACGGGUAUAAAUGCUCGUGACGGGACUGGCCGCCUGCAUCGGCCACGGGGUCGACUCACCGCAGAGAUCUGUCUCCCUUUAGAUAUUAACGGGUUAUGGGUCACGCUGUCAGCCCCCUUACAGGAAAAACAAGAUACAUUUUCACUUCGGCAGAGAUGCUCAUUAUAGGAAAAUAAUGAAGCAGAUGAUGGCGAAAAAGUGGGAAAGGCCAAACAGCUGAAGUUACAAUGGUUUUGCUCUCUUUGCUGUAGUUAGUUAAUUGGUUCAGGCAUGCUUGAAAAAAAAAACCACACGUUUGAUGUGGUGAACAAUACAAGUGGCUGUUGUUGAUGUAGAUGAUGUUGCUAUUGAUGAUAUUAUUAGACUGGAAAGAAAAUGAGCACCGAGAUUGCUGCCGUGU